rnacentral:tRNA from 1 species
GGACCCGUAGCCUAGCAUGGAUAGGGCGUCAGACUUCUAAUCUGAAUGUCGCAGGUUCGAAUCCUGCCGGGUCCG